AUUCAAAUGACAAGUCCUAAAUAGGACGAAACUCGCGUCCUGGAU
rnacentral:hammerhead_ribozyme from 1 species